rnacentral:rRNA from 1 species
GAUGAACGCUGGCGGCGUGCCUAAUACAUGCAAGUCGAGCGAACGGACGAGAAGCUUGCUUCUCUGAUGUUAGCGGCGGACGGGUGAGUAACACGUGGAUAACCUACCUAUAAGACUGGGAUAGCUUCGGGAAACCGGAGCUAAUACCGGAUAAUAUUUUGAACCGCAUGGUUCAAAAGUGAAAGACGGUCUUGCUGUCACUUAUAGAUGGAUCCGCGCUGCAUUAGCUAGUUGGUAAGGUAACGGCUUACCAAGGCAACGAUGCAUAGCCGACCUGAGAGGGUGAUCGGCCACACUGGAACUGAGACACGGUCCAGACUCCUACGGGAGGCAGCAGUAGGGAAUCUUCCGCAAUGGGCGAAAGCCUGACGGAGCAACGCCGCGUGAGUGAUGAAGGUCUUCGGAUCGUAAAACCCUGUUAUUAGGGAAGAACAUAUGUGUAAGUAACUGUGCACAUCUUGACGGUACCUAAUCAGAAAGCCACGGCUAACUACGUG